UCUUCCCUCUUUCUUCGUGCUUAACACAUGCAAGUCGAACGAUGAAGCCCAGCUUGCUGGGUGGAUUAGUGGCGAACGGGUGAGUAACACGUGAGUAACCUGCCCUUGACUCUGGGAUAAGCCUGGGAAACUGGGUCUAAUACUGGAUAUGACUUCUCAUCGCAUGGUGGGGGGUGGAAAGAUUUAUUGGUCUUGGAUGGACUCGCGGCCUAUCAGCUUGUUGGUGAGGUAAUGGCUCACCAAGGCGACGACGGGUAGCCGGCCUGAGAGGGUGACCGGCCACACUGGGACUGAGACACGGCCCAGACUCCUACGGGAGGCAGCAGUGGGGAAUAUUGCACAAUGGGCGCAAGCCUGAUGCAGCGACGCCGCGUGAGGGAUGACGGCCUUCGGGUUGUAAACCUCUUUCAGUAGGGAAGAAGCGAGAGUGACGGUACCUGCAGAAGAAGCGCCGGCUAACUACGUG
rnacentral:rRNA from 1 species